UACGGAGGGUGCGAGCGUUAAUCGGAAUUACUGGGCGUAAAGCGCGCGUAGGCGGUUUGCUCAGUCCGCUGUGAAAGCCCUGGGCUUAACCUGGGAACGGCAGUGGAUACUGGCAGGCUAGAGUAUGGUAGAGGAGAGUGGAAUUUCCGGUGUAGCAGUGAAAUGCGUAGAGAUCGGAAGGAACACCCGUGGCGAAGGCGGCUCUCUGGACCAAUACUGACGCUGAGGUGCGAAAGCGUGGGGAGCAAACAGG
rnacentral:rRNA from 1 species